UCUCCGUAGGUGAACCUGCGGAGGGAUCAUUACCAGAGAUGGUGGGCUCCGGUCCCCGUCCCCAACCCUUUGUCUACCAAAACCUUUUGCCUCGGGGGCAGAGCGGCCGCCGCCGCCCCCGGAGGACCACCUAACUCUGUCUCUUUACGUCGGAGUAUUUGAUUGAAUAAGUAAAAACUUUCAACAACGGAUCUCUUGGUUCUGGCAUCGAUGAAGAACGCAGC
rnacentral:misc_RNA from 1 species